AUCCUUUUAUAGUUCAUGAUCAUGAUGAUUAGGUGUUCGUGCACGUACGUGAAAGGUGCCACCCUUGAACCUUGUUACUGUUAACACGUCAGCACAUUACCUGUCUGACC
ensembl:snoRNA